AUGCUCCACUGAAGUGCCUUCAGUCAUUUCCUGGCACUGGACACUGACACAAAUCCAGAUGCAGAUUUCUAUUUUCUCAUCUCUGUGUUUCUGUUUCUAAUGGAGUGGUUUGUUUUGUCUCGCUUUGACAGUGUGACUGUUCCAGAGAAACUGGAUUGUUUUAUAACCAGAUAUGCAGAGCACAUCCAUGAGAAGUGGUGUAUAGAAAAGUUUUCCAAUGGCUGGUCAUAUGGAGACCAGAUGUGUGAAAUCAGCAAGAACCAUCCACUCCUGAAACCAUACAAAAGCCUGUCUGAAAAGGAUAAAGAGACGUACUGCUGGCCCAUCAGAGAGUCUCUGAAGACCAUGCUUUCAUGGGGUUGGAGCAUUGACAGGAUCAGAGAGGGAGACUCUGUCA